rnacentral:rRNA from 1 species
UACGAGGGGGGCGAGCGUUGUUCGGAAUUAUUGGGCGUAAAGGGUGCGUAGGCGGUUUGGUAAGUCUUAUGUGAAAUCUAUGGGCUCAACUCAUAGUCUGCAUGAGAAACUGCCGGGCUUGAGUAUGGGAGAGGUGGGUGGAAUUCCUGGUGUAGUGGUGAAAUGCGUAGAGAUCAGGAGGAACACCGGUGGCGAAGGCGGCCCGCUGGGCUGUUGCUGACGCUGAGGCGCGACAGCGUGGGGAGCAAACAGG